GACGAACGCUGGCGGCGUGCUUAACACAUGCAAGUCGAGGGCACUUUGGGGGCAACUCUGGAGUGACCGGCGAACGGGUGCGUAACACGUGAGCGACCUUGCCUCGUGGUGGGGGAUAGCCGGCCCAACGGCCGGGUAAUACCGCAUAGGGUGCUUUCUUCGCAUGGAGAGAGUAGCAAAGCCGUGCAGCAAUGCACUGGCGCCACAGGGGGGGCGUC
rnacentral:rRNA from 1 species